UACGUAGGGUGCAAGCGUUGUCCGGAAUUACUGGGCGUAAAGAGCUCGUAGGCGGUUUGUCGCGUCGUCUGUGAAAUCCCGCAGCUCAACUGCGGGCUUGCAGGCGAUACGGGGCAGACUUGAGUACUGCAGGGGAGACUGGAAUUCCCGGUGUAGCGGUGAAAUGCGCAGAUAUCGGGAAGAACACCCGUGGCGAAGGCGGUUCUCUGGGACGGUACUGACGCUGAGACGCGAAAGCGUGGGGAGCGAACGG
rnacentral:rRNA from 1 species